GAUGAACGCUGGCGGCGUGCUUAACACAUGCAAGUCGAACGAGAAGUGAAGACGGAAACCUUCGGGCGGAAGGCUUUAUUUCGAGUGGCGGACGGGUGAGUAACGCGUGGGUAACCUGCCUCAUACAGGGGGAUAACAGUUGGAAACGACUGUUAAUACCGCAUAAGACCACAGCACCGCAUGGUGCGGGGGUAAAAACUCCGGUGGUAUGAGAUGGACCCGCGUUCGAUUAGCCAGUUGGCGGGGUAACGGCCCACCAAAGCGACGAUCGAUAGCCGAUCUGAGAGGAUGACCGGCCACAUUGGGACUGAGACACGGCCCAAACUCCUACGGGAGGCAGCAGUGGGGAAUAUUGCACAAUGGGGGAAACCCUGAUGCAGCGACGCCGCGUGAGUGAAGAAGUAUUUCGGUAUGUAAAGCUCUAUCAGCAGGGAAGAAAAUGACGGUACCUGAGAAAGAAGCCCCGGCUAACUACGUG
rnacentral:rRNA from 1 species